rnacentral:tRNA from 1 species
GAGGGUAUAGCUCAGUGGUAGAGCACAUGGUUGGCAUGCAAAAGGUCCUGGGUUCAAUCCCCAGUACCUCCA